rnacentral:rRNA from 1 species
GAUGAACGCUAGCGGCAGGCUUAAUACAUGCAAGUCGAACGGGAUUCAGAGUAGCAAUACUUUGAUGAGAGUGGCGCACGGGUGCGUAACGCGUAUGCAACCUACCUUUAACAGGUGAAUAGCCCCGAGAAAUCGGGAUUAAUACACCGUAACAUUGCGAGAUGGCAUCAUUUUGCAAUUAGAGAUUUAUCGGUUAAAGAUGGGCAUGCGUGACAUUAGCUAGUUGGUGAGGUAACGGCUCACCAAGGCCACGAUGUCUAGGGGUCCUGAGAGGGUUAUCCCCCANACUGGUACUGAGACACGGACCAGACUCCUACGGGAGGCAGCAGUAAGGAAUAUUGGUCAAUGGGCGCAAGCCUGAACCAGCCAUGCCGCGUGCAGGAAGACGGCCCUAUGGGUUGUAAACUGCUUUUGUCAGGGAAUAAACCUAUCUACGUGUAGAUAGCUGAAGGUACCUGAAGAAUAAGCAUCGGCUAACUCCGUG